rnacentral:lncRNA from 1 species
GACGAUGAGAACCCAUAGCAAUAAACCCUUCGAAAGGUAUAAAUCAUCAGCAGAACUGUAAUAUGGUGAGCUAACAGGCAGAUACUAAGAGAAGACCAGAACUAGUGCUAUAGAAGCGAAAAUGACAUAGAAUAACAGAGCUAGCACUUAAUACUGACUUAACCAAUGGCACAGUAAAUCUGAUCCGAAACAUAAGCAUAAGGGAUAAGCAGAAGCUUAAUGAAAAACAAAGGAUAUACGCAUAUGGCACC